rnacentral:rRNA from 1 species
AGGAAUAUUGGUCAAUGGACGAGAGUCUGAACCAGCCAAGUAGCGUGCAGGAAGACGGCCCUAUGGGUUGUAAACUGCUUUUAUAAGGGAAUAAAGUGAGAGUCGUGACUCUUUUUGCAUGUACCUUAUGAAUAAGCAUCGGCUAACUCCGUGCCAGCAGCCGCGGUAAUACGGAGGAUGCGAGCGUUAUCCGGAUUUAUUGGGUUUAAAGGGAGCGCAGACGGGAGAUUAAGUCAGUUGUGAAAGUUUGCGGCUCAACCGUAAAAUUGCAGUUGAUACUGGUUUCCUUGAGUGCAGUUGAGGCAGGCGGAAUUCGUGGUGUAGCGGUGAAAUGCUUAGAUAUCACGAAGAACCCCGAUUGCGAAGGCAGCUUGCUAAACUGUAACUGACGUUCAUGCUCGAAAGUGUGGGUAUCAAACAGGAUUAGAUACCCUGGUAGUCCACACGGUAAACGAUGGAUACUCGCUGUUGGCGAUAUACUGUCAGCGGCCAAGCGAAAGCAUUAAGUAUCCCACCUGGGGAGUACGCCGGCAACGGUGAAACUCAAAGGAAUUGACGGGGGCCCGCACAAGCGGAGGAACAUGUGGUUUAAUUCGAUGAUACGCGAGGAACCUUACCCGGGCUUAAAUUGCAGACGAAUUACGAGGAAACUUGUAAGCCGCAAGGCGUCUGUGAAGGUGCUGCAUGGUUGUCGUCAGCUCGUGCCGUGAGGUGUCGGCUUAAGUGCCAUAACGAGCGCAACCCUCGUGGUCAGUUACUAACAGGUAACGCUGAGGACUCUGGCCAGACUGCCAUCGUAAGAUGUGAGGAAGGUGGGGAUGACGUCAAAUCAGCACGGCCCUUACGUCCGGGGCUACACACGUGUUACAAUGGGAGGUACAGAAGGCAGCUACCCGGCGACGGGAUGCCAAUCCCCAAAACCUCUCUCAGUUCGGACUGGAGUCUGCAACCCGACUCCACGAAGCUGGAUUCGCUAGUAAUCGCGCAUCAGCCACGGCGCGGUGAAUACGUUCCCG